rnacentral:tRNA from 1 species
GGUAGGAUGGCUGAGAGCCCCAAGCGGUGGAUUGUAGCCCCACAUACAGAGGUUUGAGCCCUCUUCCUUCCA